rnacentral:rRNA from 1 species
AUUGAACGCUGGCGGCAUGCCUUACACAUGCAAGUCGAACGGCAGCACGGACUUCGGUCUGGUGGCGAGUGGCGAACGGGUGAGUAAUGUAUCGGAACGUACCUUUCAGUGGGGGAUAACGUAGCGAAAGUUACGCUAAUACCGCAUAUUCUGUGAGCAGGAAAGCAGGGGAUUGCAAGACCUUGCGGUGAGUGAGCGGCCGAUAUCAGAUUAGCUAGUUGGUGGGGUAAAGGCCUACCAAGGCGACGAUCUGGAGCGGGUCUGAGAGGAUGAUCCGCCACACUGGAACUGAGACACGGUCCAGACUCCUACGGGAGGCAGCAGUGGGGAAUUUUGGACAAUGGGGGCAACCCUGAUCCAGCCAUGCCGCGUGAGUGAAGAAGGCCUUCGGGUUGUAAAGCUCUUUCGGCCGGGAAGAAAUCGCAUAGGCUAAUACCCUGUGUGGAUGACGGUACCGGAAUAAGAAGCACCGGCUAACUACGUGCCAGCCGCCGCAGUAAAAC